rnacentral:misc_RNA from 1 species
AAAUCUGCUCAGCCCGGAAUAGAGAAAAGGAAAGUUGAGGGAGAUCAACCUCACUACCAAUGCAUGAAAGGAAGUUCUGAGUUCACGGCAAGAAUAAAAGAAUAUAACGUGAGAAAACGUUCUCCUUAUAUGCAUAUACCCACAGAGUUUUGUCAGUCAAAUGCACUCUUUCAGAAUACAACCAUGACGUUAACAGGCCCGUCGGGUAAAUCAUGUCCUGUGAGUCUGAGAAUUUGCAAUGGUGGGAAGACUCUAUAUGCUUGUAUUACCAGAGGCUGGCAUGAUUUCUUUUCAAGCAACAAGCUAAAAGUAGGCGAUGUUUGCCUCUUCCAACUUGAUCGCUCAAAAAGCGACUCAAAUUCCAUUGCCAUCGAUGUUCGUGUU